GAAGUAAGUAACUCAAGAAAAGAUUUCUAACCUUUUACUUUAGCAGUGAAACUCUGUUAUUACUUCU
rnacentral:tRNA from 1 species